rnacentral:rRNA from 1 species
CAGUCGACGGCAGCAUGAUCUAGCUUGCUAGAUUGAUGGCGAGUGGCGAACGGGUGAGUAAUACAUCGGAACGUGCCCUGUAGUGGGGGAUAACUAGUCGAAAGAUUAGCUAAUACCGCAUACGACCUGAGGGUGAAAGUGGGGGACCGCAAGGCCUCAUGCUAUAGGAGCGGCCGAUGUCUGAUUAGCUAGUUGGUGAGGUAAAGGCUCACCAAGGCGACGAUCAGUAGCUGGUCUGAGAGGACGAUCAGCCACACUGGGACUGAGACACGGCCCAGACUCCUACGGGAGGCAGCAGUGGGGAAUUUUGGACAAUGGGGGCAACCCUGAUCCAGCAAUGCCGCGUGUGUGAAGAAGGCCUUCGGGUUGUAAAGCACUUUUGUCCGGAAAGAAAUCGCACUUACUAAUAUUAGGUGUGGAUGACGGUACCGGAAGAAUAAGGACCGGCUAACUACGUGCCAGCAGCCGCGGUAAUACGUAGGGUCCAAGCGUUAAUCGGAAUUACUGGGCGUAAAGCGUGCGCAGGCGGUUGUGCAAGACCGAUGUGAAAUCCCCGGGCUUAACCUGGGAAUUGCAUUGGUGACUGCACGGCUAGAGUGUGUCAGAGGGGGGUAGAAUUCCACGUGUANCAGUGAAAUGCGUAGAGAUGUGGAGGAAUACCNAUGGCGAAGGCAGCCCCCUGGGAUAACACUGACNCUCAUGCANGAAANCGUGGGGAGCAAACAGGAUUAGAUACCCUGGUAGUCCACGCCCUAAACGAUGUCAACUAGUUGUUGGGGAUUCAUUUCCUUAGUAACGUAGCUAACGCGUGAAGUUGACCGCCUGGGGAGUACGGUCGCAAGAUUAAAACUCGAAGGAAUUGACGGGGACCCGCACAAGCGGUGGAUGAUGUGGAUUAAUUCGAUGCAACGCGAAAAACCUUACCUACCCUUGACAUGCCACUAACGAAGCAGAGAUGCAUUAGGUGCUCGAAAGAGAAAGUGGACACAGGUGCUGCAUGGCUGUCGUCAGCUCGUGUCGUGAGAUGUUGGGUUAAGUCCCGCAACGAGCGCAACCCUUGUCUCUAGUUGCUACGAAAGGGCACUCUAGAGAGACUGCCGGUGACAAACCGGAGGAAGGUGGGGAUGACGUCAAGUCCCCAUGGCCCUUAUGGGUAGGGCUUCACACGUCAUACAAUGGUGCAUACAGAGGGUUGCCAAGCCGCGAGGUGGAGCUAAUCCCAGAAAAUGCAUCGUAGUCCGGAUCGUAGUCUGCAACUCGACUACGUGAAGCUGAAUCGCUAGAAUCGCGGAUC